CGGGGCGUAGCGCAGUCUGGUAGCGCACGUGCUUUGGGAGCAUGGGGUCGCAGGUUCGAAUCCUGUCGCCCCGA
rnacentral:tRNA from 1 species